UGUUUUGUGGGUUUCUACCGA
rnacentral:miRNA from 1 species